GUCAAGGAGUCUUGCGGUAGUGUAUCGCAAAUCCAUAGGAACGCCCAGAGCUCUAGAUUUGGUAUCAUUGUGUGUUUGGAAGCUGUUAUCUUUACGUGAGGGAAACGUGUUUAUCCUUGAAAAAGAAAAUCAGCAAACUACCAAAAAAGGCAGGGCGGGACGGCUGAGAGGAGCGCUCUCUCACCACUCUCACCAGUGGCUAAUUAACAAUGUGGCCCCAGUUAAAGUCUGCUGUCUCCCGGGCUCCCGUGUCGGAUUAUUGUCUCCCAUCGACGCAACGCGCAUGCCAGCGUGUUUGCUCAGCCUGCGCUCUGUACCCUGCCCAGCCUUCCACCGAACCUGCC
ensembl:lncRNA